rnacentral:rRNA from 1 species
UGGUGGAGUGAUUCGUCUGGUUGAUUCCGUUAACGAGCGAGACCAACAUUGCUUACUACGGCGAGUUUGUGGCUGCUGGUGAACGUCUUGGGCGCGGUGGCUUCGGCUGUCGCUCUCCUGGCGGAAUCCUUGUCAGCAAGCUUACCGUUCUUAGCAAGACAACCGGCAAAAAGCCGGAGGAAGUUGUUGGCGAUAACA